GAUGAACGCUGGCGGCGUGCCUAAUACAUGCAAGUCGAGCGAAUGGAUUAAGAGCUUGCUCUUAUGAAGUUAGCGGCGGACGGGUGAGUAACACGUGGGUAACCUGCCCAUAAGACUGGGAUAACUCCGGGAAACCGGGGCUAAUACCGGAUAACAUUUUGAACCGCAUGGUUCGAAAUUGAAAGGCGGCUUCGGCUGUCACACAUGGAUGGACGCGCGUCGCAUUAGCUAGUUGGUGAGGUAACGGCUCACCAAGGCAACGAUGCGUAGCCGACCUGAGAGGGUGAUUGGCCACACUGGGACUGAGACACGGCCCAGACUCCUACGGGAGGCAGCAGUAGGGAAUCUUCCGCAAUGGACGAAAGUCUGACGGAGCAACGCCGCGUGAGUGAUGAAGGCUUUCGGGUCGUAAAACUCUGUUGUUAGGGAAGAACAAGUGCUAGUUGAAUAAGCUGGCACCUUGACGGUACCUAACCAGAAAGCCACGGCUAACUACGUGCCAGCCGCCGCGGUAA
rnacentral:rRNA from 1 species